rnacentral:rRNA from 1 species
UAGCGACAGGCCUAACACAUGCAAGCGAGGGGCAGCACAAGGAGCAAUCUGAGGUGGCGACCGGCGCACGGGUGAGUAACACGUAUGCAACCUGCCUGUAAGCGGGGAAUAACCCGUUGAAAGACGGACUAAUACCGCAUAAUACUAAAUUACUGCAUGGUAAUUUAUUUUAAACAUUUUAUGGCUUACAGAUGGGCAUGCGCAUGAUUAGCUAGUUGGAGAGGUAACGGCUCCCCAAGGCAACGAUCAUUAGGGGUUCUGAGAGGAAGGUCCCCCACACUGGUACUGAGACACGGACCAGACUCCUACGGGAGGCAGCAGUGAGGAAUAUUGGUCAAUGGACGAGAGUCUGAACCAGCCAAGUCGCGUGCAGGAAGAAUGUCCCUAUGGAUUGUAAACUGCUUUUGCAGGGGAAUAAAGUGCAUCACGUGUGAUGUUUUGUAUGUACUCUGCGAAUAAGGAUCGGCUAACUCCGUGCCAGCAGCCGC